AACCUCCCCGUACCCACCUCCACCUCUUCUGUCUCAUCGCUCGCACACGAAGUCUAUUAUCCCUUCGUUUUGCCCUUUAUCUUAAAAAAAUCCUAAACAAGAGACACACCUGCAUCGGCCUCCAUCCCCUUCCCUCACCGCCGCCAUCCCCUUGCCCCGCCUCCCCCUGUUCCUUCGACGAUGCCCCCUCCCUUGCCACUUUCUCCAUACGUCGGGGCUGCACACUGCGUCUUCGCCAUCCUCCUCGCGUCGGGGACGCACAUGGCAUCCUUGCCAUCCUCCUCGCGUCGGGAAAGGUGCCGCCGCCGCCGUUCCUCCGCGCGACUUGAGAUGCCGAGGCCGCCGUUCUUCCUCCGCACAGCCAGGGACGACGCAAGUACCGACUUCCCCGUCCUCAGCUGCAUCAGUUCAGUAGUACGCCCCCUGCCCUUGCUCAUCCUUGUUUGUUCCUCGCCGACGGUGCCAACCGGCACAUAGCAGCCGACUGGUCUCAGCCCGAGGCACCGACCGACGCAGCCCGCAGCGGCCAACCAGCGCCUCAGCCCCAGAGGAAAUGAGCAACUUCUCUCAACCUCUCCAAAAUCGCGAGUCCCUACCAGUGUUUGAUUUGCGAGUUGUGCUGCUGAUUUGUCUCGAGUGCUCAUAUGUCUUGAUAAAAUUGCCAUUUUUCAUGGACAUUAUUUGCAAUUGAUGUGAGUCUUGCUUUUUUUAUAGAAGAGAUUUGCAGGUGUAGUGAUAUAAGUACUACUACAUGAUGGGAAAACACCAUGCAAGACAAUGCAGUGAAAUAAAUGCAGGAUUCUUCUACUCAAACACUGAACAAGGAGAAAAUUAAAGAUGGUUUCUUCCGAGAGACGUCAUGUUGAUGAACAUGUCAAUAAGAUCAUUGAACUGAAAAAUAAGUUUCUCUCAGGAAGUUACAAUAGUUUUGUGGUGAUCAACCAGAAAAUCAUUGGUCCUCCAUCCAUCGAUCUCCUAGCUAAAGUAGGGGUAACAAAAUCUGACUUGUUACUACAUGAAUGUUCUAUUUCACUUACAUUUAACCCUGUGAGCUGUUUGGGGUUCCAGUUUAGUUCAGAAUGUGGGUCAUGAUGUCACCAGCUGAACUUGGAACACGAAAGUUGUUUGACGUUAUACAUAGUGCUACUCUAUAAGCCAUGAAACAGCCAGAGUUUAAGACAAACCCCAUGUAGAAACCAGACUUCCUAUGAUGGUUCAGUCUGGCAGGCUCAUCUUUCCCAGCCGCCAAUGAAUUAUUAUUUUUAUAUAUACUUAGGGUACACUUGUCUAUACUACUUAGAUCCUGCAUCCCUUCAAGGUCAAGUCAAGGGCUCUGGGUUGGCGUCAUGAUGAGCAGAAGUGGAUUAGAUAGUUCGUAGUUUUCCUGUACAACCCCCUCCCCCUAUUUCUUAGUUCAUUAUGCAUGUAUUCUUCAUAUGCAUGAGUUGAUAACUCCAGCUGUCCCAAAUCUGGUGAUGGUUUUUUUCUCGUGUUGUUGCUUCUGCAAGUUCUGAGAACUUUAUUCAUGGAUCAAGAAAUUCUAAUCUGGACCUGGUAAAUCUCAGUAAUUACGAUCUUUUGUGUGACGUAGAAUAUUUGAAGAUUUUCAAGUUGUUGCACUGAGAUUUCUCCUAAUACAACAAAACACACUUGACUAGUAGAUCAUCCCAAGCAAGAGUAGUACGGGAGCAAUCUAACGCAAAGCUAGCUAGUGCAAAGACCUCUCGAAAAUGGAAAUGUUCAAUUCAGUAUAUUCAGUAUUAUUCGUUAGCUACUUGUCAUUUAGUUGCUAAAUUCAUCUAAUUUUUCAUAUAAUAUAAUUUUUAGUAGUAUAUGCAAGCUGAUGGUUGUUCACAAUGAACAGCCACAUCUGAUUGGUCAAAGGUGCUAUGUGUAUUAAUAUGCAGCUUCUAACGAGCCAUCGAUAUUCAGAACAUGUGCAAGGCAAUUAAGAUAAAUAGAAUGCCCUCAGUUUACAAAGAAUGGGUGAAGACUUGAAGUCUAUGUGUUUGUACUCCAUAGCAUAGUGAUGGCCCUUUUGCUAGCGUGUAUUAUUAUUAUUAUUUUACAAAGGAUGAUACUAACACUACAAGUAUAUGCAGUUUCCACAUCUGAAUUUUGGUAUUUUUUACAGAAAAUAAACUAGAACACUAAAAACAUAUAUUAAUAGUUCAUAUAGUUUUAAGUUGAUGCAAGAUGCAAAAAUAUUUAGUACACGGAUAUAAAUAGCAUAAUCUGAGAUGUUAUUUAUAAAUUCAUGUUGGAUUUUCCUUUUGUAUUCAGAUUAUUAUUUAUCCCCUUAUCUAUAUAUAAAUCUAUGUCUCAAUAAAUCACAUUUAUAGGGUGCUUUAAAUUGUAUUUCUAUAAUAACUUGAUUUCUCUAAUGUAAGUUGCUCGUCUC